UACGUAGGGUGCGAGCGUUGUCCGGAAUUAUUGGGCGUAAAGAGCUCGUAGGCGGUCUGUCGCGUCUGCUGUGAAAACUCAGGGCUUAACCCUGAGCUUGCAGUGGGUACGGGCAGACUAGAGUGCGGUAGGGGAGACUGGAAUUCCUGGUGUAGCGGUGAAAUGCGCAGAUAGUCAGGAGGAACACCGGUGGCGAAGGCGGGUCUCUGGGCCGUAACUGACGC
rnacentral:rRNA from 1 species